AUGAAGAACGCAGCGAAAUGCGAUAAGUAGUGUGAAUUGCAGACUUUAGUGAAUCAUCGAAUCUUUGAACGCACAUUGCGCCCCUUGGUAUUCCAUUGGGCAUGCCUGUUCGAGCGUCAUUUACAACCUCAAGCUCCGCUUGGUGUUGGGUGUCUGUCUGCGCUUCUUGCGAAGACUCGCCCUAAAUCUAUUGGCAGCGGCAUCGCCGGCUUCUCGCGCAGUACAAUGCGUUAUGGAAGGCUACCGGCGGGCUUGCGUCCAUCAAGUAACCCCCCAAGUUUGACCUCGAAUCAGGUAGGGAUACCCGCUGAACUUAAGCAUAUCAAUAAGCGGAGGA
rnacentral:misc_RNA from 1 species